rnacentral:pre_miRNA from 1 species
CGAGGAAGCAUCCAAAGGGAUCGCAUUGAUUCUCACUUGAUUAAUUAGUUCAGAAUUAAGCUAAUUAAUUUUGAUAUCCGCCGAGGGAAUCAUGCGGUCCUUUUGGAAGUCUCCUCU